rnacentral:rRNA from 1 species
UACGGGGGAGCAAGCGUUGUUCGGAUUUACUGGCGUAAAGGGCGCGUAGGCGGCCACCGCAAGUCGACUGUGAAAUCUCCGGGCUUAACUCGGAAAGGUCAGCCGAUACUGCGGGGCUAGAGUGCAGAAGGGGCAACUGGAAUUCUCGGUGUAGCGGUGAAAUGCGUAGAUAUCGAGAGGAACACCUGCGGCGAAGGCGGGUUGCUGGGCCGACACUGACGCUGAGGCGCGAAAGCCAGGGAGCGAACAGG